GACGAACGCUGGCGGCGUGCCUAAUACAUGCAAGUAGAACGCAGUUGCGAACGGGUGAGGAACGCGUAGGUAAUUGCCUCAUAGCGGGGGAUAACUAUUGGAACCGAUAUCUAAUACCGCAUACUGUGAGAUGGACCUCCGUUGUAUUAGCUAGUUGGUGAGGUAAAGGCUCACCAAGACCACGUUACAUAGCCGACCUGAGAGGGAGAUCGGCGACACUGGGAACUGUAAACGGCCCAAGCCCCUAAGGGAGGGAGGAGUAGGGAUUAAUCGGCGAUGGACGGAAGGCUGACCGAGCAAAGCCGCGUGAGUGAAGAAGGUUUUCGGGACGUAAAGCUCUGUUGUUAGAGAAGCGGUAACUACGCAGAAAGGGACGGCUAACUACGUGCCAGCAGCCGCGGUAAUUC
rnacentral:rRNA from 1 species